rnacentral:rRNA from 1 species
CCCUUAGAUGUUCUGGGCCGCACGCGCGCUACACUGACGAUGGCAACGAGUUUUUCCUUCGCCGAAAGGUGUGGGUAAUCUUUUGAAACAUCGUCGUGCUGGGGAUAGAUCAUUGCAAUUUUUGAUCUUGAACGAGGAAUUCCUAGUAAGCGCGAGUCAUCAGCUCGCGUUGAUUACGUUCCUGCCCUUUGUACACACCGCCCGUCGCUACUACCGAUUGAAUGGUUUAGUGAGGACUCCUGAUUGGCGCCGCCGCCCCGGCAACGGAGCAGCGGACUGCCGAAAAGUUGUUCAAACUUGAUCAUUUAGAGGAAGUAAAAGUCGUAACA